CAAAAAGUAGUUUAAUGUAAAAAUGCUGGUUUUGGGGGCCAGAGAUGAGUACAUCCUUUUUGA
rnacentral:tRNA from 1 species